rfam:Myotis brandtii contig153044, whole genome shotgun sequence.
GGCAGUUCUCAGGUGAUGCACCCCAGAAUCGGGCUCCAUCCUCUCUGGUUCUGGGUGCGUCACCUGAGAACCGCA